GCACUAAGAAAUUUGUUAUUCAUUAUAUAUUUAUGUGUUUAAAUGGUUUGUACUUUUAAGUCCGUCUUUUAGCAGAUGUUAGAUCUGAAAUCCGAAAAUAUUAGUUAUUGUAACUCGCCUUAAAUUCUUACUUAUUGGCUGCACUUUGAUUUGUAAUUUUCUUUAAAAAAAUUUUUAAAUUCGUCUUCAAGCGAGUUCACGACAACGGUAUACAAGCUUUAAAAGUAAGUAGUGUUUUCUUGGUGGUUAUCAAUUAUAUGGUAAGUUCCCCUAAAGUAUUUUCUCAGCCGCCAUAGUAUUUAAGUUUGGGUUUAGUAGUAAACAUUAAUCCUUGCUAUAUAUUUAUUAAUCUCCGUAUAAUUGGGUCUCUAAUCCAGGUUUAAUCGCUGAGUUUGUCAUCUCCAAAAAUGUGAAGCAAAUUUAAAAUAAUUAUUAGUAUUUCACUACAUAAUAAUUUAUUAUAGAUAUUUGUGUUUAAAACACUAUACAGCAAAUACUUUAGAUUUAUCUAUUAGGUUUGACCGCGGUUGCUGGCACCUAAUAAACCUAGACUAUAUAAUUAUCUAAAUCUAAAUUUCAUUAAUUUUUAAAAUUUUUAACUGGAUUAGUUAUUAGUAUUCCAUAUUAAGUUAGACUAUGAAUCUAUAGUUUCAUCACACUAAAGUGAUAGGUUCUAUGGGGGUUAUACCAUUUUAGA
rnacentral:rRNA from 1 species